CUCUUCCUCUCCCGAGCGUCGGCCGCCGGCAAAUAUCCCGUGCCCUAGCGACCCGCGGCUCCCACACCCUCUCGAGACAUCGUCGGCCACUGGAAUCCAGCGCCGCUGCUGUGCCCUAAGUCCUCGUACUCCACUGCCACCACCGAUUGAUCGGCACAGCUCAAAGCCGCCGGCCACAGGAACCCUAAUGUCAACUCCUCCCUCUCUUCUUCUGGUCGCAGGCAUUUGGAGAUUGCCGAGCACUUGAGCAUCCCAGCCGUGCCCUAGCUCCGAGUCUAACUCAGCCAUCGAUCGCCUCUUCUGGCUCAAGAAGAUCCCUACCACAGUGUACAGGCUUUCUUGAGAUGAAUUGGUUGUUGGAUGGAUUCAUCACUGCUGGAGAAGGUGCCAAGUGUUGUGCCAGUGAGGUGUUGUUAGCCAUUGCAGCUCUAGCUAUGCUGUUCGUGGACGAUCCAUGGCUUCGGCCAACCUUCCGAUCUAAAGUCAUCCUUUGAUGGUGAGCUAUCAAC